UACGUAGGUGGCUAGCGUUGUCCGGAUUUACUGGGCGUAAAGGGUGCGUAGGCGGUGUCGUAAGUCGGAUGUGAAAUCCCGGGGCUUAACUUCGGAACUGCAUUCGAUACUGCGAUACUCGAGGACUCGAGAGGAGAUUGGAAUUCACGGUGUAGCAGUGAAAUGCGUAGAUAUCGUGAGGAAGACCAGUGGCGAAGGCGGAUCUCUGGAGAGUUCCUGACGCUGAGGCACGAAGGCCAGGGGAGCAAACGGG
rnacentral:rRNA from 1 species